rnacentral:tRNA from 1 species
AAGAUUUUAAGUUAAUAAAACUAGUUACCUUCAAAGUAAAAAAUAAAAAUUUUUAAAUCUUA